rnacentral:rRNA from 1 species
AGUGAACGCUGGCGGUAGGCCUAACACAUGCAAGUCGAACGGCAGCACAGUAAGAGCUUGCUCUUACGGGUGGCGAGUGGCGGACGGGUGAGGAAUACAUCGGAAUCUACUUUUUCGUGGGGGAUAACGUAGGGAAACUUACGCUAAUACCGCAUACGACCUACGGGUGAAAGCAGGGGAUCUUCGGACCUUGCGCGAUUGAAUGAGCCGAUGUCGGAUUAGCUAGUUGGCGGGGUAAAGGCCCACCAAGGCGACGAUCCGUAGCUGGUCUGAGAGGAUGAUCAGCCACACUGGAACUGAGACACGGUCCAGACUCCUACGGGAGGCAGCAGUGGGGAAUAUUGGACAAUGGGCGCAAGCCUGAUCCAGCCAUACCGCGUGGGUGAAGAAGGCCUGCGGGUUGUAAAGCCCUUUUGUUGGGAAAGAAAAGCGGCAGGUUAAUACCCCGCUGUUCUGACGGUACCCAAAGAAUAAGCACCGGCUAACUUCGU